rnacentral:rRNA from 1 species
CUACGUGCCAGCAGCCGCGGUAAUACGUAGGUGGCAAGCGUUAUCCGGAUUUAUUGGGCGUAAAGCGAGCGCAGGCGGUCUUUUAAGUCUAAUGUGAAAGCCUUCGGCUCAACCGAAGAAGUGCAUUGGAAACUGGGAGACUUGAGUGCAGAAGAGGACAGUGGAACUCCAUGUGUAGCGGUGAAAUGCGUAGAUAUAUGGAAGAACACCAGUGGCGAAGGCGGCUGUCUGGUCUGUAACUGACGCUGAGGCUCGAAAGCAUGGGUAGCGAACAGGAUUAGAUACCCUGGUAGUCCAUGCCGUAAACGAUGAUUACUAAGUGUUGGAGGGUUUCCGCCCUUCAGUUGCUGCAGCUAACGCAUUAAGUAAUCCGCCUGGGGAGUACGACCGCAAGGUUGAAACUCAAAAGAAUUGACGGGGGCCCGCACAAGCGGUGGAGCAUGUGGUUUAAUUCGAAGCUACGCGAAGAACCUUACCAGGUCUUGACAUCUUCUGCCAACCUAAGAGAUUAGGCGUUCCCUUCGGGGACAGAAUGACAGGUGGUGCAUGGUUGUCGUCAGCUCGUGUCGUGAGAUGUUGGGUUAAGUCCCGCAACGAGCGCAACCCUUAUUACUAGUUGCCAGCAUUCAGUUGGGCACUCUAGUGAGACUGCCGGUGACAAACCGGAGGAAGGUGGGGACGACGUCAAAUCAUCAUGCCCCUUAUGACCUGGGCUACACACGUGCUACAAUGGAUGGUACAACGAGUYGCGAAACCGCGAGGUUUAGCUAAUCUCUUAAAACCAUUCUCAGUUCGGACUGUAGGCUGCAACUCGCYUACACGAAGUCGGAAUCGCUAGUAAUCGCGGAUCAGCAUGCCGCGGUGAAUACGUUCCCGGGCCUUGUACACACCGCCC